UACGAAGGGGGCUAGCGUUGCUCGGAAUCACUGGGCGUAAAGCGCACGUAGGCGGUCUGUCACGUCGGCUGUGAAAACCCGAGGCUCAACCUCGGGCCUGCAGUCGAUACGGGCAAACUAGAGUACUGCAGGGGAGACUGGAAUUCCUGGUGUAGCGGUGAAAUGCGCAGAUAUCAGGAGGAACACCGGUGGCGAAGGCGGGUCUCUGGGCCGAUACUGACGCUGAGGAGCGAAAGCGUGGGGAGCGAACAGG
rnacentral:rRNA from 1 species